CCUACGGGUGGCAGCAGUGGGGAAUAUUGCGCAAUGGGCGAAAGCCUGACGCAGCGACGCCGCGUGAGGGAUGAAGGUCUUCGGAUCGUAAACCUCUGUCAGCAGGGAAGAACGGUCACUGUGCUAAUCAGCAGUGAAUUGACGGUACCUGCAAAGGAAGCACCGGCUAACUCCGUGCCAGCAGCCGCUGUAAUACGGAGGUUGCGAGCGUUAAUCCGAAUUACUGGGCGUAAAGCGCUCGUAGGCGGUAUGUCAAGUCAAGGGGGAAAUCCCCGCGCUCAACGUGGGAACUGCGUUUGAAACUGGCAAACUGGAGUGUGGGAGAGGAUAGUGGAAUUCCAGGUGUAGGAGUGAAAUGCGUAGAGAUCUGGAGGAACAUCAGUGGCGAAGGCGACUAUCUGGCACAUAACUGACGCUGAGGAGCGAAAGCGUGGGUAGCAAACAGGAUUAGAUACCCCUGUAGUC
rnacentral:rRNA from 1 species